UACGUAGGGUGCAAGCGUUAAUCGGAAUUACUGGGCGUAAAGCGUGCGCAGGCGGUUGUGCAGGACAGAUGUGAAAUCCCCGGGCUUAACCUGGGAACUGCAUUUGUGACUGCACGGCUAGAGUGUGUCAGAGGGGGGUAGAAUUCCACGUGUAGCAGUGAAAUGCGUAGAUAUGUGGGAGGAAUACCGAUGGCGAAGGCAGCCCCCUGGGAUAACACUGACGCUCAUGCACGAAAGCGUGGGGAGCAAACAGG
rnacentral:rRNA from 1 species